rnacentral:rRNA from 1 species
GAUGAACGCUGGCGGCGUGCCUAAUACAUGCAAGUCGAGCGAACGGACGAGAAGCUUGCUUCUCUGAUGUUAGCGGCGGACGGGUGAGUAACACGUGGAUAACCUACCUAUAAGACUGGGAUAACUUCGGGAAACCGGAGCUAAUACCGGAUAAUAUUUUGAACCGCAUGGUUCAAAAGUGAAAGACGGUCUUGCUGUCACUUAUAGAUGGAUCCGCGCUGCAUUAGCUAGUUGGUAAGUUAACGGCUUACCAAGGCAACGAUGCAUAGCCGACCUGAGAGGGUGAUCGGCCACACUGGAACUGAGACACGGUCCAGACUCCUACGGGAGGCAGCAGUAGGGAAUCUUCCGCAAUGGGCGAAAGCCUGACGGAGCAACGCCGCGUGAGUGAUGAAGGUCUUCGGAUCGUAAAACUCUGUUAUUAGGGAAGAACAUAUGUGUAAGUAACUGUGCACAUCGUGACGGUACCUAAUCAGAAAGCCACGGCUAACUACGUG